rnacentral:rRNA from 1 species
ACGGGUGAGUAAUGUCUGGGAAACUGCCUGAUGGAGGGGGAUAACUACUGGAAACGGUAGCUAAUACCGCAUAACGUCGCAAGACCAAAGAGGGGGACCUUCGGGCCUCUUGCCAUCAGAUGUGCCCAGAUGGGAUUAGCUAGUAGGUGGGGUAACGGCUCACCUAGGCGACAAUCCCUAGCUGGUCUGAGAGGAUGACCAGCCACACUGGAACUGAGACACGGUCCAGACUCCUACGGGAGGCAGCAUG